rnacentral:lncRNA from 1 species
UCUUUCACACUCAGUCUCUAUGAUCCCUGCCUUCGUUCGCCCUUUUCACACUCAGUCUCUUUGAUCCCUGCCCUCUUUUGGCCGCUCUGGCGCUCGGUCUCUAUGAUUCCUGCCCUCCUUUGUCCCUUUCACACUCAGUCUCUAUGAUCCCUGCCUUUAUUUGCCCUCCUCACACUCAGUCUCUAUGAUCCCUGCCUUUAUUUGCCCUCCUCACACUCAGUCUCUAAGAUCCCUGUUCCCUCUUUUGGCCCUUCUGACACUCAGUCUCUUUGAUCCCUGCCCUCUUUUGGCCCUUCUGGCACUCAGUCUCUAUGAUCCCUGCACUCCUUUGUCUCUCACACUCAGUCUCUAUGAUCCCUGCUCUCUUUUUGCCCUUCUGGCACACAGUCUCUAUGAUCCCUGUCCUCCUCCUUUGUUCCUUCUGGCACUCAGUCUCUAUGAUCCCUGUCCUCCUUUGUCUCUUUUGCCCAAUUUCUUUCCAUUUUCCCCCAUUUUUUUUCCCUUUCCCCGUUUCUUUUCUUCCCGUUUUUGCCCCCCUUUGCCCGAUUUUGGCCUUUUUUCACCCAAUUUCUGUGUCCUCAGCCCGGAUCACCUCAACAGCCACGUGCGCCAGGUGCAUUCCACCGAGCGGCCCUUCAAGUGCCAGGUAGGGCUGCCCCAUAGCUGCCCCACGGCUGCCCCACAGCUGCCCCAUAGCUGCCCCAUGGAUAACCCAUAGCUGCCCCAUAGCUGCCCCAUGGCUGCCCCAUAG